rnacentral:lncRNA from 1 species
AUUGGAUUGUAAUAAAAUCUUAUUAAAUUAUUUAAAUUGAACGGAAAGAAUUUAAAGAGUUAUACUUAGUAUAUAAAUUUUGGAGUAUUAAUAAUUGAUAUAAGGCGAUGAUUAAAGGCAUAUUAAAUAGAUUAUGAAUUAUUUUGGAAUUAUUGAAUUGGAUUAUAUUUAAUUUGAGGUGAAUAUGUUUAGGUGAUGAAUAACGUUUCGUAUUUGAUAUCGUUUGCAUUUGAGGGUAAGAUUUUGUGGAGUGUGCUAUAAAUGGUUUGGAAGUAUCAGGUACGGAUUCCGUACUCUUUCAGCGAUACCUUUGUUAAAUUUGAUUUGUUCGUUUUUUUCCUUAUUUCGAAUUCUAUUAUGAUUUCACAUAAUUGUUUCUUGUGAAAUAAAUAUAUUAGUUUCAUUUUAGAGUUGAUACGUAUGACUCGUAUUUGUACUCUUUGAAUUAGGUUAUCAUGUUUAGUAUUAUUUAUUUUGAUAAUUGUAGAGCGGUACAUGUUGCUACCUUCCUUUUGAAACCUUGUGACUAUAAUUUGAUUCGGUUCAACAUGUACAUAUAGAACCCUUUUGUUGGUAUUAUGUCGCAUGUGUUGUGACAUGAUAUUUUUGUUAGAAUAUACCGUAGAGUAUACCUGAGUUAUAACCACCUGUGGGGGUACCACAGGCACGUCGUCUUGGCACGAGAGACGUGACACUUUCCGUGGCGGUGUGAUUAGUCCACGGCGUCUCCAUUUUGGGCUCCGGAGGAAGUGGGCCAUUUGGUGUUUUGUUGUGGGAGGCGUAUGGGUUAACCCUAGUUUUCUGUUCUGCGGAUUUGUGAUGUUGUGCCAAACACACCUAUCCGAUUUGCAUACAUUUGGAUUCGCGGUCCAAUGUGUGAUUUGCCUGUGUGGCAUUAUUUUGGUUGCCUGUGUGGCAUUAUUUUGACUUGCCUGUGUGGCAAUGUGUAUUUCUGAGCUCAUUCGGUAUAAAAUAACUCCAGCCAUUUGUUUCAGCCUAUUAUUUUAUUGGAUUAGUUUUGUUGGUUUCUGUUCAGUUCAAGUCAUUGAGUUAGUUACUUCAGUUCGUUAUUUCUUUAUUCUUUUAUUGGUUUCGUCAAUUACGUUGAUUCAGAUAUAUUCAUUACGUUGAUUCAGAUAUAUUCCAUUCAAAUCUUUGGAUAUUAUAUUUUCGUUCGUAUUUGCACUUGAGGCUUUGUUCAGUAUUUUGUCUCAGUUAUUUUCGUAUAUCAGUUGUAUAUCUUUUGUAUAUCUGUAUCCGUACUGGGCAAUUGGCUCAUGCUGUGUUUUUCUUCCGGCAGGUUUGCAGGGGUGAUUCAGGGCUAGUGUGAUGAGAG